UAUGGAGAGUCCAGACUGCAGACUGGAGACUCUCAGGAUCAGAAGAGAUGAGACGAUCAGAGCCAAGAUCCAGAAGACCUGUGACAGGAAGUGAAGACACACAGAAAGGAACUCCCAUCCCCCGAGUCCUGCGGCAGGAAGCGCUCCUUCUCUCCAAGAACUCCUGGACCCUGCAAGCUGGUCCAGAACCAGAGUCCCAGUGAGGAGUCCAGCCAGUGGACCUCUCAGAGUUAAACUACAACAUUAUUGAAGAUCAUGUUUAAAGUUAAAAAAGGAUGCUUUCAGACUGAAUCCAGAAGUUUCUCUAACUACAGUCAAAGCAGGUGCUACUCCAUCCCUGAGAGUGGGACCCAGGAACCCCUCAAAAACACACCUGGUUGCUAUCCUGGCUCCUAAAUGGUGGAAUGAACUCCCCAUUGACAUCAGGACAGCAGAAACUCUGCAUAUCUUCAUCGUAGACUGAAAACGCAUCCAUUUCGAUUUUACCUUGGCAAUUUUGAGUUAAUUUAGGCCUUUUAACUGAUUCACCUGUGACCCACACAAAGUGUAAUCACAAUUGUAUGUUUAUAUUUAAUAUGAUUUUAUAUCACUGGCUUCAAAGGGAGAGACAGACUGACUGUGGGCACCCUGGAGAGGGCCAAUGAGCUGA